GAUGAACGCUAGCUACAGGCUUAGCACAUGCAAGUCGAACGGAGUUAUUCUGAGUGAAGUUUUCGGUAUGGAUUUUUGGAUUAACUUAGUGGCGAACGGGUGAGUAAACGCGUGAGUAACCUGCCCUGGAGUGGGGGACGAACAGUUGGAAACGACUGCUAAUACCGCAUAAGCCCACGGUGCCGCAUGGCACAGCGGGAAAAGGAUUUAUUCGCUUCAGGAUGGACUCGCGUCCAAUUAGCUAGUUGGUGAGGUAACGGCCCACCAAGGCGACGAUUGGUAGCCGGACUGAGAGGUUGAACGGCCACAUUGGGACUGAGACACGGCCCAGACUCCUACGGGAGGCAGCAGUGGGGGAUAUUGCACAAUGGGGGAAACCCUGAUGCAGCGACGCCGCGUGGAGGAAGAAGGUUUUCGGAUUGUAAAACUCCUGUCGUUAGGGACGAUAAUGACGGUACCUAACAAGAAAGCACCGGCUAACUACGUGCCAGCCGCCGCGGUAAAAACCUGAA
rnacentral:rRNA from 1 species